CAGUUUUAUCUUUACAGCUAGCUGUAGCGUUCUCACAAAUUGAAGAGACUCCAUUUGUAAUGUGAAUUCAUGUUUGCAAUGUUGUAUGCUAAGUAAUGAUCUAGUCAGUAGUGGGCAGUCAUUUUUGUCAUGAAAGUUAACUGUAUAUAUAGGAAGAUAUGCUACCGUGUAGACUUCAAACAUAUUCCAUAACUUACAGCCAUUCUAAUUUCUCCCAAGUCUGCCCAUUCAUUUGUGGAAAUGUCUGGGUGCAUUUUGAUUCCUUUUAGACAGCUCCAUUUCAGUAUCAGAACGUUCAAGCACCUUUUAUGGAAACCCAGUCUAUAUUUUAGCCUUCAAGGCUACUGGGUGGAUCUUGUUAACUGGGAGAGCGUAAGACAUUCACACCAAAAAAAAAAAAAAAAAAAAGAACACAAAAGGAAACCCAUAAAUAGUACCGGUAUACUUGGAAAAAUUCCCUACCUAUAAUUACAAAAACAUUUAGGCAACCCAUUCUGUCUUCAGAAAGGUAACAAUUAUUUAUACAUAUCAGUCUCUGUGUAAAUGCCACCUGUCCAAUCAAUAUAUUAAUAUUUGAAUUAUUUCAAAAGGAGAUGGUAGGAAAAAAAGCCGUCAUUUCUUCAGUAAUGAACUAAUUUAUCUGAAAAUCUGAGAACUGCAAGUGGGUGGUACUCUUUUCUGUGUAGUCUUACAAAAGACAUUACUGCAAUCAAGCUAGUACUUACUAUUUUAAUAGUAAAACACGCCAGGCGUCAAAACUUGACAUGGAAUGUAAUGAGAAGUGAUAUGAUUGAGCAGAGAUGUAACAGAUAUGUUAGUUAUGUUAUGUUAGCAUGAUUUUUGCUCUGGGUCUUGAAAUCUUUACAUAUACACAUGCACAAACAUUCUUAACAAGAUAGAAAAUUUCUUGUGGAAAGUGUAUCAUAAUGAAAGCCUUGGGAGAGAAAACAGAAGAAUAUGUGAAGGGAGAAUGCUCUGAUUUUAAAUAGGCAAGUAGAAGAGGUUGUUAUGACAGGAGUAUAUUGCUUAGUUCAACAGUAUCUAGUUCCACUUAUCUGGUCUUCCUGGUAAUGUGCUGAAAGCAGAAAGGAAGAGCAGUAGUUCAGCAGUGUCUGGUCCUUAAAAAUAAAGAAGGGGUAGGGAGAAAGCAUAUAACUGGGGAGAAAAAGAAAAAAAAAAUAGAAGUUUGAAUUUGAUAUGAUCCUAAGUAGCAACCAGAGAGAUUUGGGAAAACACUGAGCCAUAGCUGGAAUGGCAGGCUGAUGUUUAGGAAGAGUAUAUGAGAAAGGUUGAAGUGGAAAUUGUGGAUAUCAGGAAAUACAGCAAAGCAGCGAUUGUAGCAAAGGUAAUCAAGCCAGAUGUUUGCAACAUAGACACAGAGAAAAUAAUCAGUUUGAGGAAAAUAAACAGUAAUCAUAUCUGGAUUAAAAAGUUGAGGUUAACAUGAAGUUUGGAACACUUUGGAAAGAAAAGUUGGUGGAUUAUGUAUGUAGGGUCAUAAUCCGGUCUGUGCUGCAGUUAGAUCCAGUUCAGCCUAAUUUGCAUUGAAAUUUGCUCCCUGACUCUAGACUGGCUUAUCAUUAUUGUGGCUGCUUGUCUGUGCUGUUCUCUGGUGGUGUUUUUUGCUGCAGGUGCUGUCUCCUGUGGAAGCUUCUCCCUGAUGACCAGUUGUACUCCAAGGUCCAAGUCUGCAUGUUGCAUAAUGUGUUCCUAGUCUUCAGAGAGGUAAUUCUGAUAAAUGUAACUCAAACACCAGCUGAUGCAGGUACCUCCUCUGUGCCUGCAGAGAGCCUAG
ensembl:lncRNA